CACUCACUACAAACACACUACAUUCACUAUACACACUCUGCAUUCAUUAUACACACUCUGCACUCACUACAAAAACACUACAUUCACUAUACACACUGCAUUCACUACAAACACACUACAUUUAUUAUACACACUGCACUCACUACAAACACACUACAUUCAUUAUACACACUUUGCACUCACUACAAACACACUACAUUCACUAUACACACUCUGCAUUCAUUAUACACACUCUGCACUCACUACAAAAACACUACAUUCACUAUACACACUGCAUUCACUACAAACACACUACAUUUAUUAUACACACUGCACUCACU